rnacentral:lncRNA from 1 species
CUCACUUCAACUGCCGAAGCUCCUCUCUCUCUAGGAUCUCUCUGCCCUCCACGCCGGCGAACUCCCACGAGCCACCGCCUCUCCGACCUCCAUGUGGCGAGUAGGGACUGGUUUUUCUCUGACAUUUCCGGCGUCCACUUCUUCAGCUUCAACUACUAGUGCUGUUGCUCCAUCUACAAGUUUUUUGUUGUCUGACAAAGCAUCUGCACCAGCUUCAUCCUCGCAAUCUCAAUCAACUGCGGAUAUGCCAAGCUUUGGUAAGAUUUACUCUUACUUUAAUAUUGUAUUGUCUAUGUUGUAGUUGUAUCAUAUGAUAGUUAAACUUGCUUAUUGAAUAGAUGUAGUGUCCGACAUACUUUAAUGGCGCUUUAAUUGGUUAAUGAAAUGGAAUUAGUUGUUCUAAUUUUUUCUUCGAUUCAAAAGUUGUAGUUCAUAUCCAGAAGGUGGCUUAAUCAUCCAUGACUUCAAUUUUCUUCUGCUGUAUAAAAUAUGCCUUAUGAGAGAGGUGAAUAGUUUGUUAAUGGCUAGGCACUCUGAUGUACUUGAAAGGUGGACUUGUUAAUUUAAUACUUUUGGUCGUAAUCUUGAUAAACUUAAGGAUGUUUUUGAUUCAAUUAAGGUUAAACAUGGGAAAAUCGAGAUUAAGACAGUGGCGGUUGCUUUCUCUGGUGAUUUGGAUGAAGGGUUUAAGAAGAUUAAGGAGAUAAUUGAAGGAUUAGAUAUUGGGGUUUUGAUUAAUAAUGUUGGGGUUUCAUAUCCUUAUGCUAGAUUUUUUCAUUAAGUGGAUGAUAAAUUGUUGGCUGAUUUGAUUAAAGUUAAUGUUGAAGGAACUGUUAAGGUUACUCAAGCUGUUUUACCUGGUAUGGUUCAGAGGAAAAGAGGUGCUAUUGUUAAUAUUAUUUCUGGUGCUACCUGUUAAUAUUGCACCUUAAGUUGAAAUUUAUUUGAAGAAAGAGUAAAAAGUAUACAAGUUGAUAGACUUUGUAGCCAACUUGAAAUUUGUAAAGAAUCUUAGGGAGAAACUAUUUGUUGAUAUUCAUGAAGUACACAUGUGAACUUAAAUUUGUGUGCAUAGGAGGGUUUUCCAAAUACCAAAUUUGAGUGGAGUUCUGAUUAUUUCUUUACUUGAGGUCCUUAUUAGUUCAUAUUGCUAAUCAAGUACCUACACCUAAACUUUUCAUUUUGAAUUUAGUUUAGUUUGGUAACUUGUGAAGUGAAUUAGUGACUUGAAAUGUUUAGGUGUAGUAGGGACUUGAAAGGUGGACUUGUGUUUUGAAUAUAGUUAAGUGUGGUCACUUGAGAAGUGUAUUAGUUAGUCGAAAAUGUUCAAGUGUAGUUUCUUGAAAGGGGAACUUGUGAUUUGAAUUUAGUUAAGCGUGGUCACUAGAGAAGUGAAUAAGUGACUUGAAAAUGUUUUAAGUGUAGGUACUUGAAAUGUGGACUUGUGUUUUGAAUUUAGUUAAGUGUGGUCAUUUGAGAAGUGAAUUAGUAAAUCGAAAAUGUUUGAGUGUAAUUACUUGAAAGGUGGGUUUGUGUUUUGAAUGUAGUUAAGUGUGGUCACUAGAGAAGUGAGUUAGUGAGUCGAAAAUGUUUAAGUGUAGGUACUUGAAAUGUGGACUUGUUUUGAAUUUAGUUAAGUGUGGUCACUUGAGAAGUGAGUUAGUGACUUGAAAAUGUUUGAGUGUAGGUACUUGAAAUGUGAACUUUUCAUUUUGAAUUUAGUUUAGUUAGGUAACUUGUGAAGUGAUGCCUUAGUGACUUGAAAUGUUUAAUUGUAGUUACUUGAAAGGUGAACUUGUGUUUUGAAUAUAGUCAAGUGUGGUCACUAGAGAAGUGAAUAAGUGACUUGAAAAGGUUUUAGUGUAGGUACUUGAAAUGUGGACUUGUGUUUUGAAUUUAGUUAAGUGUGGUCACUUGAGAAGUGAAUUAGUGAGUCAAUUUUUUAAGUGUAGUUACUUGAAAGGUGAACUUCUGUUUUGAAUAUAGUUAAGUGUGGGACGUGAGUUAAUGACUUGAAAAUGUUUAAAGUGUUGGUACUUGAACUGUAAACUUUUCAUUUUGAAUUAAGUUUAGUUUGGUAACUUGUGAAGUGAAUUAGUGACUUGAAAAUGUUUAUUUGUAGGUACUUAAAAUGUGUACUUUUCAUUUUGAAUUUAGUUUAGUUAGGUAACUUGUGAAGUGACUUAGUGACUUGAAAUGUUUAAUUAUAGUUACUUGAAUUACGAAUUAAUGACUUUUGUUUUGAAUUUAGGUACUUGAAAUGUGAACUUGCGUUUUGAUUUUAGUAUAGUGUGGUCACUUGAUAAGUGAAUUAGUGACUUGAAAAUGUUUUUGUGUAGGUACUUGAAACGUGAACUUUUCACUUUGAAUUAAGUUUAGUUUGACAACCUGUGAAGUGAAUUAGUGACUUGAAAAUGUUUAAGUGUAGGUACUUGAAAUGUGAACUUGCGUUUUGAUUUUAGUAAACUGUGGUCACUUGACAUGCGAAUUAGUUACUUCAAAAUGUUUAAGUGUAGGUACUUGAAACGUGAAUUUUUCAUUUUGAAUUAAGUUUAGUUUGGUAACUUGUGAAGUGAAUUAGUGACUUGAAAAUGUUUAGGUGUAGGUAUUUAAAAUGUGAACUUUUGUGACUUGAACUAAUUAUUUGAAUGUGAUUGAUUGUGUCGAUGGAACCUGAUUAUAGCUGGAUAUAUCAACGAAAUAUUGAUAAUAGAAUGGGUGAGGCUGAGAAUGAAGAUGCGGAUGAUGAGUUGUAGUUUUUAGUCUUUUGUAUGUUUUAUAGUUUGAAUUUGGAACCUCGAUAAAUUUUGUAAAUAAUUUGAUUUUUAAUGUUUGUAUUCUUAUGGUGGUUGGUUGAUUGUAUAUUAAAUGAUUGAUGGACUGUAUUGUAAAUAAUUAAUUUGAUUUUUAAUGUUUGUAAAUGAUUGAUGGGCUGUAUUGUAAAUAAUUUGAUUUUUAAUAUUUGUAUUUUGAAAAUUUUCAAUAAUUUUUUUUACAAAAUUAUCAAAAAAAUCGAUCACGUGGUCGGUUUUUUUGGAAUUUUUUUACAAUAAACCAACCACAUGUGGUUCUUUUUUUUGAAUUUUUUUUACAAUAAACCGACCACAUGUGGUUCCUUUUUUUGAAAUUUUUUACAAAAAACUACCACAUGUGGUCCCUUUUUCUUUAAAUUAAUUAAUUAAUUCAAUUAAAAUGUGGUCGGUUUUUUUGUAAAUUAAUUAAUUAAUUUAAAGAAAAAGGGACCACAUGUAGUUUUUUAUAAAAUUAAUUAAUUAAUUUUAAAAGAAAACCAACCACUUGUGGUUGAAUUUAUUAAAAUUAAUUAAGUAAUUUAAAAAAUAAAAGUGGUCGGUUUAUCUUUAUUUUAAAAUCAUUUUUUCGAUUUUAAUAAAAUAAUAAUGAAUUAUAAAAAAAUAUAUAUAUUUUUUAAAAAACGGAUCACAUGUGGUUGGUUUUUAAAAAGCUGUCACAGUUUUACCGACCACUCAUUUAUGGUCGGUUUUUCUGUUUUUUUAGUAGUAUAUAUAUAUAUUCAACGAAAUUCUUGAAUUCGUUGUUGGGUUCAUUAAAGGCUCAGGUUUCUCCAUCCCAGGGUGAAGAAUCUCAAUCGAAGCACCAGUGUUAUUAACUGUUUUAAGUACGCGUAAACAUGUAAUUUACUAAGAUUGAGUAGAUAACUUGUUAAAGCCGAAAUAUUGAUUUAUUUCAUCUAUAAUUUUUUUAGUUUCAUGUUUUUUUUCUGAAGAGAUCUAAAAAAGUCCCUUUUUUAAAUUUAAUUUGUAGGUGGGUCAAGAGAUCUCUUAUUUUCUUGCUAAGCUACACCAAACUUAUAAAACUCAUAUAUACAUUUUCAGUAGGUGUUUAGACAUGCAAUUUCAUUUCAUGAUUUGAUAUCAUAAGAUGAAAUCAAAUCAUGAAAUGAAAUCAGCGUUGAACAUGCAAUUUCAUUUUAUGAUCUCAAAUCAAGAAAGGGAAUCUCAAAUUCUCCAAAAAACUUGCUAUUGGAAUUUCAUAUCAUGAUUUGAAACUUUUUAAAUACAAAAAUUGACCCACAAGUUUAUAUUUUAUAAAAAUAUUUAUCAUUUAAAUCUAUCAACCAUUUAUUUCAUUUGUAAACAAAAUUUAUACUAUUAAUAUUGUUACUCGUACCAAUCUUUAAACCAUUUAUAUCUGACAUAACCAUUACUUUCACAAAUCUUCACUAACUAAUUUAUUAUAAUUACUUCAAUCUAAAAUUUAUUUUACUUAUUUAUUGAAUUAAAGUUUGAUCAAUAAAUAUAGUAUUUUUUUUAGAAUAGUGUUGUAAUAAUAUGCUAUACUUUUGUUAUGAAUUUUGCUUAUUUGGUAAGAUUGUAUCAAGAAUUAGAAAAUUUUGAUAAUUUUCACAAUUUAUGGAAUUUUAAUAUUUAUGAAAGAAAAAUACAAUUUAAAAGUUUAAAUUAUAUGUCUAAAUAAAGUUUUACUUCAUCUUUAUCUCGUAUAAUUUCAUAUCAUGAUUUCAUUCACCCAGCAAAACAAAUCCUUAAUAAAUAUAAAUUAUUAUUUUUUCAUGAAAAAUGCGCAAGUGUCUUGAGGGAGAAAAAGGGAUGAUGUUUGACGAUGCACCACACGCAUCGAACACGGCAAAACCAAGAAAUAUGAAGAAACGGAAUUAGGUAUAGAAAAAGAUAAAGGUAUUAUUUUGUUUUUUAUGACCUACCAAAGCCAAUGCAUGAGACAAAAUAAAUUCAUUUGGCUAGGGAGUAAUUGUACCCAAUCUUAAUUUUCUUAAUAAGAAAUUUGUUAAAGUUUUCUGGUUUGAUCUUCUUUAUAUAUAAUGACCACUUUUGAUGUAAGCACUAAUUAAGCCUCAUGAGUCAUUAGCACCAACAUAGUUGUUGGUGGGACAAUUUUACUCUUAAUUAGAGGUUUCAGAUUCGAGCAUUGUAUAUAAAAAAAAUCCUGUUAAGAGUGGCGGCCUAGAAUAGCCCUUCAUUGCAUAAAUUGUAUUAGUCGGAACUUCAAUGUAAACACAAAGCGCCGGUUGCCACCACCCCCCAAAAUAAAAAGAAAGCCUCAUGAACUAUUUUUUUCAAUAUAUAAGUAUUGCGGUUUGGACGGAUAUACAAAUGGUGAAAGUUGGAGACAUGCACCCUGUACAUUAUACAUUUGAUUUUGAUGGAAACCUGCUUUGAUUUUAUCUCUUUCAAAAGAAGAUGAGUAAUUAAUUACUAGUAGUAUUCAUAUCUCAGGUGGACUUGAACACAGCCAAAUGCUGUCUCGCAAUAUUCUUUAUAUUUUCAAUCGGUGUAAUCACUUUCUUUGUAAAGUUGGAUGUGGCCGUAGUGCAUUUACACAUACGUGGGUCACCUACCUUGUUCUGGGUAAGUUAUUAAAUGAAAGAGUUCGAGUUGAAUUUCAGAAAAAUAAAAUGAAUUUGAGUUGGGUUAUGGAUUAUUGAAAAAUCGGUUACACUUUGUUUGGAUGGUGGUUGCCAUGGUAUAAUAUGGUAUCGUUACUAAGAGUAUUAUAUUUGUUUUGAUUGUUUCUUAAAAUAUAUGGUAUAGUAUGAUUUGAUUCCAUGAUUAGGUAAUCACAAAAAGUCUCACUUUAUGUAACCAUCGAUUUUGUGGUAUCGCGUCGUUCCCUUAAUUUUUUUCUCAUCUCACCAUUAUUUAUUAUUCAAAAAUUUCAUUUUAUUCUUUAUCCUACCUCUUUAAAGUUGCCCUAUCCCGUAUCCUAUUUUUCUAAUAGGUACAUUUUUCAAAUUAUUGAUGCGUCAGAUUAUGUAACAACAAAAAAUGAUACUGUAACGACCUGUUAGGUCGUUUUGAAAAACUAGAACCUUAUUUUUCAGAAAGACUCCUCGUGUAAAAUUGUAUAUGGGAAUUUUUGCCUAAUUCGGAAACUAAUUUAGAUAAUUAAGUUGAUGAUUAUUAAGAAUAUGAUUUUAUUAAAAAAUUAGAAGUGGGCCACACCCACCACUCUUUUACUACCCACACACACAUUGUAUAGGGUAGAAACACAGUAAUUUGUCAGAUCUCCACUUACCAGAAAAGAAAAAAACAAAAUACAAGGUUUUGAAGUGCUUUGUUCAUUGGCGUCAUCCUACUGCCUGCUUCAGGUAAAAGCUUGACAGGCUUAAACCUUUUGUUUCUGUGUUGAUUUCUAAGAGUUAGGAUCUCAUUAUUAGUUAUGUAGUUGUUGGGUUGGAGAAUUGUGAACCGAAAUUGUUUAUUGCAGUGGUGAAUUAAUUUGUUUGAAUAGUUGAGGCUAAUACAAAUUCAAUGAUAAAUUAUGAUGAGAGUGAAAUCAAGGGAAGAAGUAUCAUUGUGUUAUUUCUAUCAUAACCGUUGGCAUGAACUGGUGCAUGAAAUUGAAAGAAAAACAGUAGAAUAGUUGAAUAAUUAAUGAUGUGUAAUUCCAAUAAUUAAGUAAUCAAUGGGGAGUAAUUUGUUAAUGAUUGUAUAGUUGUUGGCUAGUAUAAUAAUGGAUUAUUGAAAGUGAGAAAUUUGGAGAGGAUUGAGGAAGUUAGUAGUAUAGUAGACGUGGGCGGUAGCCAUACAAUGACAUUAAUUAUUUAUGUUAUUUGUGGGUACAUUAGUGUUAAAAUAGUCCAAAAAAAAGUUUCUUCUUAUAAUUUAAUGUUGAUUAAGGUGACUUUCUAUACAUGAAAUAGUGGUACUGCAAGUCUUUAUUUUUUAAAUUUUUCUAAGCGGCCUUAGCUUAUAUUAUCAGAUAUUGAUCGAACGUGAUGGUGACAAAUUUAGGCAUAGUUAUGAAAUUUAUUUGAGUAAAAUUUUAUAAAACAAGUGUUAUUAAAUUUGUAUUCUUAAGAGGAUUAUAUGUUUGGACAGAUUUUGAACAUUCCGAAAAUUUGAGGAAAGACAAGACACUUGUGGACUAGUGAUAUUUGAGUUCUCCGGUUGAGGUAGGUUACAGUUUAAUGGGAGUUUAGACUCGACUUAAUUGUGUGUAUGCUCCUAAGUUGGAUACUUGUUGAUUGGUAUUCGGACAUGCUUGAAAUUGCUAAUGUUUGAAUUGUUGAUGCGUGUAUAAAUGUUUAUUGAAAAUUUACUUGAUGGAAUUGUUUUAUGACUUGAAGUGUACUUGUAAACUUGGUACAUUGUGUUGUAUGCUGUGAGGUUGUUUAAACUGAUAUUGAUAAUACUUGUAUAUGUUGGAUCGGGUAACACCCCGGUACGGAUAUAUUUAUGUUGGAUCGGGUACCAAGCCGAUACAAAUAUAUUUAUGUUGGAUCGGGUACCACGUUAGUACAGAAUAUUUAUGUUGGAUCGGGUACCAUGCCGAUACAUAUAUAUUUAUGUUGGAUCGGGUACUAAGUCGGUACGGAUAUAUUUAUCUUGGAUCGAAUACCACGCCGGUACGGAUAUAUUUAUGUUGGAUCGGGUACCACGCCGGUACGGAUAUAUUUAUGUUGGAUCGGGUACCACAUCGGUAUAAAUAUAUUUAUGUUGGAUCGGGUACCACGCCGGUACGGAUAUAUUUAUGUUGGAUCGGGUACCACGCCGGUACGGAUAUGUUUAUGUUAGAUCAGGUACCAUGCCGGUAUGGAUAUAUUUAUGUUGGAUUGGGCACCAUGCCGGUACAGAUAUAUUUAUGUUGAAUCGGUUACCACUUCGGUACAAAUAUAUUUAUGUUGGAUCGGGUACCACACCGGUACAGAUAUAUUUAUGUUGGAUUGGGUACUACAUCGGUACGGAUAUGUAUAUGUUGGAUCGGGUACUACGUCGGUAUGAUACAUGAGCAUAGAUUGUUCCCUGUAGGUCAUGACUAUUUGGGCAAAAAUAAGCCCCAUAGCAUGUGUGUACAUAUUUGUGUUGAUUUUAUGGAUGUUUACAGUAUGGUUGAUACUCUUGAUGGUUAUGUGACUUGUUUGUGAGCACUAUUUAACCUGUUGUUGCUGCAUAGUUGAUUUAUUGAAUAUUUGCUAUGUGACGAUGCCUGUCUACUCCUUAUUUAAUUUAUGUUGUGUACAUAUUAUUAAGUUGAGUUGGCCUAUGAUGCCUACCAGUACAUAGUGAUUUGUACUGAUACUACCCUGUACUCUUCUUUUGUUGAGUGCAGAAAGUUUUUUGGAGGCUCAGACAUGACCUCACCUCUAGAGUUUGAUAGCAGAUCUUGAUCCAAGAUUGAGUACUUCGUCUGCAGGCUGCCACGGUCAUCUUAUUUAUUAUUUUCCAUCUUUCGGGCAGUAAAACAUUCCUUAUUUACUUUAUUUUGGAUACCUCUUUAGACAUGAUCUUUGUUAGUAGUUCUCAUACGAUGACUUUCGGCUCUUGGGAAUUUUAGUAAGUAGUUUGUUUUACUUCUGCAUUAAUAAUGAUUAGUCCUAGAUUAUUGUUAUUAUGUUGAUUUAUAGUAAUAUUAUCUUAAUAUUGACUAAGUGAUUGGGUAAUGGUUUGAUUUAGAUGGUUCUCCUACAGGAAGAUUAGUGUGGGUGCCACUUAUGGCCAUUUGGGUCGUGACAAAGUUAGUAUCAGAGACUAGGUUCGUCGAUCUCACCGUACAAGAACAUGUCUAGUAGAGUCUUGUGGAACGGUACAGAGACGUCUGUACUUUUCUUCGAGAGGCUAUAGGACACUAGAAAAAUUCAAAUUCUUCUUUUUUUCGUGCUAUUACUUGAUUUCAAUUGGUAUUUAGCGAUUUCAGUUGGUAUGUGAAUCUUUCAUUUUUAUUCUCG